AACAAAGAGAACCCAGAGAGCUCUGCUUUUACACUUUAAGGAACACUGAGUGGACAUGCAACAUGCCUAGUGUAUGGCUCCUGUUGGCUUCUCCAUGAGAGCUCCAAAGGCAGAGGAGGAAGAGGAACUCCAGUGAUAAACAGGCAACAGUCAAUCCUGAUGACAGGAAUAAGAAUGAAAAAAUGAGAUCUGCUUUUUCCCCCCUUCAUUUCACCUCCAAAGAUAAAUUUUAUCUCUGAUUUUCUCCUGAGAGCAUGUUCCAUGCAAGAUGAACUAUAAAAGUGCAGUUAUUUCUUAUUGCUAUUGUGUGAAUGAGAGAAUAUGUUUCAUUCUUUGUUUUAAAUAAUGUAUUAAUGAUGUUGGAUUGUCAAAAUGAAGUCUUAUAUCAGUCAAGCUAUAAACAAAAGAAAGCUAAUUUUCCCUUUGACUUCCAGAUAAAUCAUUAAUUAUACCACAGACCAGAUCAAAUUCGGUUAUAAGAAGAAAUGUGUUAACAGUGUAAUAUAAGUAUGUCAAAUUUCAACAAAAAGGACAUUUGGAUAAUGAGCUGUAAGCUCUUCAGAGAUGAAGCAGGAUUCCUUCCAGACCAAAGUCACAAGGGUUACAUAGUCUACAUAUAGAUGCAUUGUUCCAAUCAUCCCAUCUCACCAAGACAUCUCAAAACACCCAAGAUCUGAUACUUUCUGUGGAGGAACUGUUUUCCCAUACAGACUGUACAGGAGAUCAGAGAUACAUGACUAUGGUCCAAUGAGUACUGCAGAUUAACUAAAAAUUCAAAGUCCAGAACCGUAAAUGGAACUAGAACACCAACGGCAUUUAAUUUGUGAUAGAAAGUAGACAUUGUAUGGCCUAUUUUAAUACAAAUAUGAUACCACUGCAGCUUUAGAAGCCUAAUAGUGUCAGGCAGAUCAAGUAGAUUGCAUGUGAGUGAGACACAUUCUAUUCCUGGAAAGGGGAAAGCAAAAAGCAUUUACUACAUACCUUGAGAGGGAAAUAAGCAGCAUGAACUAAGGAGGAUAACCUGAAAGGAGAUGUAUUUUGUACACAACAGGACAAGCUAAGUCAUCAGUCCUUUGUAUAACAAAACUUGUAGACAAAGAUUAUAACAGGACAAUGAUAAUAACAGGAGUUAUUAUCCAAAGAUUUAUUCAAACCUACCAUUACCCAGAGAUUCUCUAUGCCCCACUUUGAAGUUUUAACAACCACUGACAAGGGUUGCCACCCCUGGCUGGGCUCCAGCUAUCUUAUAAAAGCUACAUUUACUUUGCAAAUCCCCUCCUUUCAAGUUUCCAGUCCUAGGCACAAUUUACAGCACAGUCAAGCUCCUAAUCAGGGCUGGAUCCAGGCAUGCAUCUAGUCAGCCCGCAGCACUGCAGCUUUCACAAAGGGGAAUCCAGGCAUGAUGGCCAAACUGACAUUAUCAGCUAAGCAUAGCAGCAGCCAGUGCUGAUUCUUGGCAUUACUGAUGCUGAUAUUGUGUAUGUGGCAGUAGAGAAAAUUUCUCCUCAGCACAAAUUUUAUGUAUUCGAAGGAAAGCUGUAGCUGAAACAGUAUCCAGACUCUAAGUAUAAAGUGCAGUAGAGCUGCAAUGUUAAUUGGACCUUAUAUAUUCCAUAAUAUGUAGGACUUAGAGAACCAUGGUUUAGAUUUGUAAUUUUCACAUUUGGAACUAAAAGGGGUGUACCUAAUGUGUAAGAUUAAGGAUAAUAUGUACUUGAGUACACACUUCCCAAGGAAAUUCACUAAAAUUCAAGUAUCACUGUCUUUUUGACAUUUCAGCUUAUAUAUAUAAGUUGUAUUUGAAGCAACUCUAAAAAUAUCACAGAUUGCCUUCCUUUUCUGAAAUUGUCGACAUGAAUUUUCCUAGUUUAAUCUAUUUUUUUCUCUACGAGAAAGUCCUUCCCUCUCCAUUCAAAUAUGAAAAUUUAUCUGUUUUCAUCCAUAUAAAUCUCUUUCCAAAUGAUUGGGUUUUUUUAUCCACCAUAUAAGAGAUGAAUUUCACAUUACCAGUAGCCUCAUCCAAAAGCUUUAAAUUUUGGAGUUACUUCAAGUUUAUAUGGAAUAGUAUCAGUGCAACCAAAUACUUCUUCAUAGUUUUUUAACUGAAGGACUGCUUAACAUUUCUGACAAAAAUCCCCAGAAACUACACCCACUAAUUUUUGGCAGCUGGAAAAGAAGGUGGUUGUUUUGUUGUUUAAAAUAAUUCUUUUCUUUUACAACUAUAGAGGAACAGAAAUACUGUUUAUCCCCUGCAGUCUGUCUUCCAGAAGGCAGCAGGUUUCUGCACCACUAAUUGCAAUUCACAAGAGGGACAUUUUUAAAUAUAUACUUCUUAAACUCGGGUAAAAUUUCAGAAUAUGACAUUUUGUAUCUCAUCCAAAGCACAGUAUUUUGUCUUUCUGGUUUUUGUAGUUCCCAGCACAGAGCUGUAUUUUCCAUUUGCUGCAAGGGUGCUGUCAGGAACAUGGAGGCAUUUCCUUAAUUCCUUAAAGGAACCUGAGCUCAUUUCAACACUGAGUUUCCUUCUGAUGGGGAGAACCAACCCCUUGGUCACUUUCAGCCUCAAUUGGACAUGCACACAGCACAUCCUUCCUGCAUCUUAAGAGCUCUAUACAUGCAGCAGUGAUAACAGCAGUACAGGGGAGAGAGUGAAAUUAAUGCCAUUGAGAUGGACAUAUGUUUCCUUAGAGCCAAAUCUGAUGAGAGAACUCUGCAACAGCAGAAGAUCCACAGUAGAAAGUCCCAUCUCAGGGAGCAAAAUCAACAGUGCUGCAAUUUUUUCAAUGCCACACAGCACAGAGAGAGCACCACAAUGGUACACACAGAGCUAAGGCAAGAGGCUACAGCCAUCUAAGUCCACAUUCAGGCAUUUCCAGUGCCCAUUCCAGUAGGGAAGCAGCUCUACUGACUACAAAACAGCUGCGAGUUUCUCAGUAAAAGUAGUAGUUUAUAUAUAUAAAAAUAAAAGUAUAUAGCUCAAAAAGUGCUUCACAGCAUGAACUUAACAAAAAUAGCAAUUUCCAUGUAUUGGUAUCUGCAAAUAUUUAACUAUAUGUUUAUGAUGUCUCUGUCUCCUUGAUUUCAUUUCAUCUGUUCAGGGUUCAUACAGUUUGCAAAGACUUUAAUUAGGACAAGUAUUAAUAAAGUAUUUGCAAUUGCCAUCAAAACUGCACAAACCUUCCAAACUGAGCUAAUCUAAGAAAUUUACAGCUGUGAGUCCUUGGAAGAACAAGAAACCCAAACGACACAAGCUCAUUUAAUAAAUUCAGAAAAAUUAUUUUCAGAAAGAUAUGUGAUUCAAGUAAAUACAUUUAAUGUAUUUCAUGUCAGUGGUUUCCUCUGGUUGUCUUGAACUGUAUUGAGAAGAAAAAAAUAAUUCUUAAAUACGUAUACCAAAAGCUGUGAAGGCAGGAAAAGCAUUUUCCAAUUCCUGGUGUGAAAAUAAAGAAUUUCUCUCAGUAAAGUAAGGAUUGAUUUUCCCAUCCUCAGUGUCAAGCUCAUUUGUUUCUAAUUUUAAUGGGAUUAACCUACACCAAAUUAUCCAUUGGCUUUUAAGAAUACAGCAUCUUAAAACACUGCAGCAUUUGUAGGUGUAACUUCCAGGCUUAAAAAAUAGUGGAAUCUGAUGAACAUC